rnacentral:lncRNA from 1 species
AAGGACCGAAACGCGCCUCAAGCUGUCACUUGCCGCCUGGAGUUCGUUGGGAAAGUUGAAAAAGCCUAGUCCUGUUUAGGAAAUCUAUCCAGCUGUGUAUAUACUUUUUGCUUUUAGGGUAUGAAGCUCAGGAAGGAUAAGAAAAACAAGAUCACACAGCUGGCAAGUGGCAAAGCAGGACACAAUUUAUAACUCCAGAACGAGAAUUUGCAGUUGUUGCGCCAGAUGCCCUGUAGCGGGGCUGCCACCAAGAAGGUGGAAGAACACCUUUAAUUCCAGCACUCAGGACACAGAAGCAGGUGGGUGGAUGUCAGUUCCAGGCCCUCCUGGUCUACUUAGUGAGUUCUGGGAUGGCCAGAACUACAUCAUGAGACCUGUCUCAGAAAAAAAGAAAGAAAAAGAAAAUGCUCACAGGUACACCCAGCUGCUUGGCUUUGAAUUGAUUUCAGAUACAGUCAAGUUGACAUCAAGACUAUCCACCAACCAAUCUUUAAUUUAUUCAUUCAAUGGAUAUUUUUAAGUCUAUGUCUGGCAUUAAGUUAAGUGCUAGAGAACCCGGGGAAAAACCAAAAACCAAAAAACAACAACAAUAACAAAACAGGACAGCCAUGUUUUCUGCCUUCAUGAACUUUCUGGAAGGAGAGAAACAGCAUUUAACAGCGUGGAAAGCUGCUUUGUGAAGACAAGUCCUAAGAAUGCCAUCUACAGAGGACUGGGGUGGUGAGAACAUAUGCUAAGUGGUCUUGGUCUCCACUACUGUUGAAAGAAGAGGCUCUGAGGAAAGAGACAUUAGAUAAAGACCCACAGGGGUCCUAGAAAGACUCCAGGUGCUUGACUCCAGUUGUUUGGGGGUUUUUGAGAUGAGAUCAGACUCAGGCUGGCACUGAACUUCGGAUCCUCCUGCCUCAGCUUCUCAGGACCUCUCUGCAUAGCCAUGACUAUUCCUGGAACUCACUAUGUAAACCAGAGAUCUGCUUGCCACUGCCUCUCAAGUGCUGGGAUUAAAGUGGCUCGUCUGGGUUCAGGAAAGUAUAGCUCCAGUUUAGUGUUCUUAUGGAUCAUCGACUGUACCCAAGACCAGAAACGGAAACAACUAGAUCAUCUUCAACUGAAGAACGGAGACAGAAACGUGAUACAGGAGUAAUUCUGUGUUUGCAGCUCACUGAAGAAACUUUCUCUUAUGCUUCCCUUCGCUGUGACAAACCAGUUCUUCCUAAAAGUACUUCUUCCAUGCUUGCCUGAGAUUUGGCAGUUGUACAUCUCUCUUACCGGUCACUCAGCCUUCAGCCUUGGAAGUCUGCUUGUUUGUGACUCGGUUGUCCUCACAUCUGCAUGAAUCUGAUGAGCUGGAGUUCCUGGACUCUGGGCCCUGGUGGCCACCCUUCCUUUUCCAAGGUAGUUCUGUACAGCCUGACUGGGCUGCCAGCCACCGCUGGCUCUAUGUGCAGCUGCAGUCUAUUAACUGUACCCUCGCCCAUCCUAACCAAGACAUGAAGUAUGCUUCAGAUUCCAAGAGGAAGUGAAUGGCACAAAUGUGAGAUAAUAAAAAAUGUGUUCCUAA